rnacentral:tRNA from 1 species
CUGCAGUCUCACCAUCAACCCCCAAAGCUGAAGUUCUAUUUAAACUAUUCCCUGAACACUCUUA